UCUAAACAUCUCAUAAUUUCAUCAUCUUCAUAGUCCUUCGCUGACUUGCUGCAGCAAGUUCCAGUCUGUGUUGUACUGGGGAGCUGAGAACUGGGCCCAGAACCUCUCACGUGUCUGUCUACCAGUGCUGAACUGAAUGGGAAUAAUCACCUCCCUCGACCUGCUGGUGACCCUCCUCCUAAUGCAGCCCAGGGCCUGCUGGCAUCAUCUUGAGAGCCACAUUUCCUCAAGUCUUUGCCAUGAGUGAAGGUGAAUGGAGUGUCCUUUUGAACAUUCUUCUAAGGAUCCUGUUGGAGCUACUUGUAUUGGAAGGAGCCACCACUACCCUAGCCUGGACUGUGAAAAAUGCAGAUUUGCCAUGCUGAUCUGAAGGAUGUUCUCCACUCUGGCUCUGGAGUUGUAUUGCAUUGUACACAGUACUAGGGAACCUUCAGCCUCUCUUAAAGAUCUGUAAGACAGAUAAAAAUGGAACUCUUAUUCUUGUGGAGAUCCUCAGGGAACAAGUGCAGAAGAAAGGCACUGUGAUAAAGAACAUGUGGCUGGUGAGUGGUGCUGGCAGAUGGACGGGGCUGCUGCUCUGCAGUGAUCAAACACCUUCCCAGCAAGGCUUUUGCCAGCUCUUGUCUACACCAAAGCAACGUCAGGCACAUGAGUGAGAAGUCAUGAGCUCCCAGGAAAUUCCAGCAAGUGCAGAAGGCUGCAAUAUUUCAUCUCUCCUGCACAGACAAGGACUAGUACCCUCUGAGUGUUUUCCUACGGGGCUGACUCCAGCCAAGCCUGUUGUCUCCAAAGCACUCAGUAGCCUGGGUCCCAAACUCAUCUGAAGUUCCUGUGUGAUGCCCAGCUUUGCUCCUCACUUGGCAGAGAACUUCCCAUAAUGGCAUAUCCCAUCUUAGGAGCAAUGAGCUCCCCUGGAAACUAUGAACAUUACAAGCCUGCUUCUUUUGUGCCAAGUGCAAGACCUCUGCUUUAAGCCUCACUUUUUUCUACUUUUUUUUUCAUGGCUGUCAA